GAUCUUCACAUCUCGAAUUUCUUCUUUAAUCCCUGCAGGUUGUCAGAUCCAGCUCUUCAAUCCUGUGGUAGCAUGAAGCCUGGAUCUGAGAAAGUGAACUCUGUGAUUGUGUUUACAUGCUGAAGAUGAACCAGUUUUGCUACGCCUGAAGUCAGGCCCGGCAUGGUGGACGUAGAGCAGCUCCUCUAAACUAAACCAGCACUAUUAUAAAGCCACCGAGGGAGGAUAACCCGAAGGCCAGAACCCAGAAAGGAGGAUCUGAUGGAGGCUGGGACAAAUGUGUUAGUGGCAACCAGGAGAAGAUCAUUCAACAACCAAGUACUUUAUAGCCAGACUCCACCAUGCACACCACUCUGGACCAACAAGUACAGGAAUGGUCGACUGGAACAUGCCUGAAGGAAUUUGUACAGGCCUGCAGAGCUCUGGGACUCAGCUCUAUGGAGUGAUGAAUCAAAACUGUUAAUGUUUGUCCACAUGGAUCAGCGAUUUGUCGGGCGCAAUAAAGACAAGGUUUAUGACCAGAUGAAUACUAUCCUCACAUAACCAUAGUAUCUUUCUAAGGUAUGAGGGGUUUAAUGUUUUUAUUUAUAACUGCAUGCAUGCAAACUGAUCUGAGUCAGAAGAUAUUUGACAUUUUGUGUGUCUGCGCCUCUGUUUGAAACCACAUCAGUACAGAAGAAAACCAGGAAAAAUCAAUAAACAGAAG